UCUAGGAUUCUACUGCAAACACAGCUGAAUGAGCAUUAGUGUGCACACUACAUUCCAGCAGGGCUCAAUAUCCCAGGAGUUUAGGGAUUUACUAACCUUCAUGACUGACGAAGCUUGAAAGUAUUUGGCAAAAGACUGUUUACAGUAUUUGCAUGUUUUCUGUGGGGAACAGUAUCGCUGAAUGUUCUAAUUAAGGCCGGCUUUUUGGCUACGACAUUAUUUGCUCCUGUGGAAAAGGCUCUUAACUGACUUCACUGCAAAAUAAACACUGCUCUGAUCCUGGGACUGAGAUCUCAUGUCAGUAAAACAGUUGGUAUGGUUGGGCUUCAUCAGACACUGAAACGAAUGUGAUUUCUCUGAUAAUUUUCCCCAUUAACUGUUUCCAAGGCAACUCUGGUUUGCUGACUUUCCAAAAAUUUUGAUAAAAGAUGAAUAAAGAUAAAGGUACAGAUCAAGUGUGGUGGAAAUAGAGUAUGAGAUAUGUGUAAAAAGCAGUUUUACCCCCGAAGAGUUGCAGCCAGGCCAAUUAUCCAAGAUCAGAAACAGGCUUGACUCACAGCUGUAACCAAUAAGGAAG